rnacentral:rRNA from 1 species
GAUGAACGCUGGCGGCGUGCCUAAUACAUGCAAGUCGAGCGAACAGAUGAGGAGCUUGCUCCUCUGACGUUAGCGGCGGACGGGUGAGUAACACGUGGCUAACCUACCUAUGAGACUGGGAUAACUUCGGGAACCCGGAGCUAAUACCGGAUAAUAUAUUGAACCGCAUGGUUCAUUAGUGAAAGACGGUUUUGCUGUCACUUAUAGAUGGAUCCGCGCCGCAUUAGCUAGUUGGUAAGGUAACGGCUUACCAAGGCAACGAUGCGUAGCCGACCUGAGAGGGUGAUCGGCCACACUGGAACUGAGACACGGUCCAGACUCCUACGGGAGGCAGCAGUAGGGAAUCUUCCGCAAUGGGCGAAAGCCUGACGGAGCAACGCCGCGUGAGUGAUGAAGGUCUUCGGAUCGUAAAACUCUGUUAUUAGGGAAGAACAAAUGUGUAAGUAACUAUGCACGUCUUGACGGUACCUAAACAGAAAGCCACGGCUAACUACGUG